AACGAACGCUGGCGGCAGGCUUAACACAUGCAAGUCGAACGCCCCGCAAGGGGAGUGGCAGACGGGUGAGUAACGCGUGGGAAUCUACCCAACUCUACGGAAUAACUCAGGGAAACUUGUGCUAAUACCGUAUACGCCCUUCGGGGGAAAGAUUUAUCGGAGUUGGAUGAGCCCGCGUUGGAUUAGCUAGUUGGUGGGGUAAAGGCCUACCAAGGCGACGAUCCAUAGCUGGUCUGAGAGGAUGAUCAGCCACAUUGGGACUGAGACACGGCCCAAACUCCUACGGGAGGCAGCAGUGGGGAAUAUUGGACAAUGGGCGCAAGCCUGAUCCAGCCAUGCCGCGUAAGUGAUGAAGGCCCUAGGGUUGUAAAGCUCUUUCACCGGUGAAGAUAAUGACGGUAACCGGAGAAGAAGCCCCGGCUAACUUCGUGCCAGCCGCCGCCGUAA
rnacentral:rRNA from 1 species